rfam:Cricetulus griseus cell line CHO-K1, whole genome shotgun sequence.
AUAAAGGCUCUUUUCAGAGCCACCAAAUACUCAACUAAAGGGCUGAU